GAAUGUAAAAAAGGUAUUUCUUUGAAUGAGAUUUCAUAUGAAACAGUUAAAGGAAAACGUCAUUAACACAACAACAUCAACAACAACUUUCAUCAUCAAUUGGUUUCCCCUUCGUUUAUUAAGCACAACCUUGGUUUCUAUCAUCAUUAUCAUCAUCAUCAUCAUCGAAUAUCCUCUUUCUUUUUAUCUUUCUAUUUAAACAUAAUCUUCCCUGUCAUCAAAAGUCAACCUACCGUGAGCCUGAGCCUGUACCUUCAUCAUCACAAACAAGGCAUCAUCUCAACAAGACAUUUCCAAUUGAACAUUUUAACUUCACUUUGUCCUAAAUACAGUUACUAUCAAAAACUUUCUCUCUCUCUCUCUCACUCACUCUCAUCAAUCAGGUAAUUUCACCAAUUGAAAAAAAAACGUGUCAUCCGUUAAUGUUGACAAGCGAGAUACAAAACACUGAGCAUCAUCAACAUGAAACUCAAUCAACAUGAUCAUCAAGAGUAACAAUUUACAAUAACAACAACAACAUUAAUCCAUAUCAAGUUAAUUCAUCUGAUCAUCAAAAUUAUUCAUGGUUAAGUUAAUUGUGAUUCAGUUUAACACUCAAACUUCAAUGAUCAUCUUCCUGUUGCAAUUAUCCUGUUCAAUCAGUUAAUCAACAUCUAUUAAUAAGACGAUAAUCAACUGAUGAUUAGGUCAUUACAAUUAAGCCUAAUUCACAUGAGAAGGACUUGGAAACAACACAAAAAUGACCAGAAAAGUGACCAUUACAACUAAUCAAUUCCAAUUAUCCAUCACAAUUUAAAUUAUCGGUAGAAAAUUUUGUUUUCCAACUUCACAAUCAAGUCAAGAAUCAUCUGAAAGCCUGAUGAUGAUUAUAAUCAAUCACAAUCUCGUCUUAAUAGCAUGACUUAAAUCAGUUGCGGUCAAACAUUGAUUAAAAUGAUUGCAAGUAAUGAAAAAAAAACAACAAAAUUCAAAUGAACAUAAAAUUUUUAAAUUGUUUCUCUUCCAAUUAACUUAAAAAUUCUGGUAAUCAUGUUGAUAACUUUUUCUGAACUUUUUUCCUUAUUUCCUCUUACAGUUUCCUCCUAAUCGACUCCACCUCAUCACCAUGAUGAUCAACAGUCAACAACAUCAUCUAAAUAACAUCAAAUAGCAUCAUAAUUACAUGAGAUACGCUUAAUGAUAUGGCUUCUGAAUUUGGGGUUAAUUUUAUUGACAGAGGACCGGAUGGAAGAGGCCAUCAUCACCACCACCACCACCACCAUCAUCAUCAUCAUCAUCAACAACAACAAUAUAUCACCAGUGAGAUUCAAAUGAUAUUAAUGAUAAAAGUGAAAGUGAUGAGGAUAAACAUGAAAAGAAAUGAUAUCAUCACAAUAAAAGGGACUAAUAACCUUAAUUGUUAUAUUUCACCUUAACUAUUUGAUUCAAUAACAAAAAGUUUUUGUUAAUCAAAACAAGUUAAUACUAAUUAAAUUGUUAGCAUGAGCUAAAUGUAUUUGCACGUUAUUAUCUUUACAUUUGAUGAACUUGUUGUUAAUUAAUAUUGUUCAUUCAAUUUUUUUUUGUAAUCUCGGUUCACUUGAAUUUCAUUGAUUGUAAUUCAGUGAGAUUACAUGAGGAAACUGAAGAGGGAGAAAGAUAAUAACAACAACAAAUCUUUUAUUAAAUUAAAUUUCUUUUGUCAUCAAAUGAAUUGAAACAAUCAACAUGGUGUAAAGUGAAAGUUUGACAAUUUAAAAAGUUGAAAAUUUCCAUCAACCGAAUCCACAAUCAUGAUAAUGUUUUAUUGAUCCGGAAUAUUUCAAUUACGAUCAGGUUAUCGUUUCCAAUCAUUGAAUUUAUACUUCCGGAGAUUUAACGAUAAACAAGGAUAAGUGUCAAAGCCGAAAAGGUGUCACAGGAUAAUGAGGAUGAAGAUGAAAGUUGAUGAUGAUGAGGAUGAUGAUGAUGAUGAUGCCUGAAGGAUGAGGAUGAUAAAACUACACAUAUCAUCUGGAACUAAAUUGUAAAAUUGAUUGAUGAUUGUUGACAAAUGAAGCUGAACAUAAACCAGAAAACCUUUGGUAAACCUUCAAAUGGCUUAAUCAUCAUUAUCUUCAUUAGUAAACAAUGUUAAUUAUUUUUAACAUCAUCACAAUUUAGACAACAAUAAGAUGAGAAACUUGUUUACUAAUUGUUUACAAUUAAACUAACUGACUGUUGGUCAUUAUUAUUAUUAUUGAUUUCACAAUUUCAAUCUCAAUGAAAAGUGAAGACAGAAAAAAUUGAUUCUCAAUCAUCUUGUCAAUUGUUAUUUAAUCUUCAAUCAACAGGCAUCUAAUUGUUUGAAUUGUUAAUCAUGAAAAUAUCAGGAUUCUCAGGAAAACUUUAUUAUUAUAAUUUUCCUCUCAUCAUGAAAUCGCUUGACCAUUUAACGCUCAUCCUCCCACUUAUAUAACUUCAACCUAAUUUUCAAUUGACCUUUUUUCAAGAACACUGAAUAUUUAUUAUGAAAUUAUAAUUAUUCAUCUUCCUCUCA